GGCUUGUCUCUGACCUGUUCUGCCUAUCCUCAUCCUCAUACUGACUUCUUGCCCAAUUUCAUCAACAUCUUCUCUGAGCCACAUUGAAUGCCAAGGAAGAUGGCCAAGCACAGUCAGGCUUAGCAGAGAAGCGGGGUCACUGCAGCACAGCCCCAUCUGUGCACACACAUGCGGUAAUCGGAUGCUUCAGCAGCUGUUACAUGAAGGCCUGGCAAGAAAAACACACAGUCAGGAAAUGCUGGGGAGAGUCUUCAAGCCAUGGGCUGCUGCUGAAGAAUGCUGGGAAAGAGACAAAGGAUCAGAGAGUCCCACCCUGAUCAGAGAGGCAGGCAGCUGUCUUCAGUAAGUAAUCCAAGUCCAGUAGCAAGACAGAAGUUAAGAUGCCUGGUGAUGGCUGGAGAUACAUUGUAGAACCUGGCAUCUUCAAUGUCUGACCAAGCUUUAAGCACUCUACAGCCUGCUUCAGACACUUUGAUGAUUAUCAGAACAAGCUGUUCUCAUCCCACCUUCCCCAGAGGAAAAUCUUCACCUUUGGGUUAGUAUCCCUGCUACCUCACCAAUGGGUUUGAGGUGUGUCACUUACCUUCAGUGAUUUUACUCAGAUGUGUCCAGUAAGCACACUAAAACUUCUUGGAGUCACAGGUGAGAGUUAGCUGAUAAAAGUAGAUGAGAGCCAGAGGUUCUAGUUCUUCCUGACUACCCCAUUUAUUCCAUUAGCUAUCAGGUUAGCUAGAAUCAAUCUAGGAACUCUACAAAGAGC
rnacentral:lncRNA from 1 species